rnacentral:rRNA from 1 species
GACGAACCGUGCAAACGUUAUUCGGAAUCACUGGGCUUAAAGGGCGCGUAGGCGGGCUGUCAAGUCAGAGGUGAAAUCCCACAGCUUAACUGUGGAAGUGCCCCUGAUACUGACGGCCUCGAGGGAGGUAGGGGCGUGUGGAACUUCCGGUGGAGCGGUGAAAUGCGUAGAUAUCGGAAGGAACGCCGGUGGCGAAAGCGACACGCUGGCCCUCUUCUGACGCUGAGGCACGAAGGCUAGGGGAGCAAACAGG